UUUUCGCUUACUUUUCUCAGAAAUUCUUUUGAUAAAAACAAGCGAUGAGACCUCACUAACGUACGACUUCGCCGUGGCAUAACACCGAAGUAGUGCGUUUUUUU
rfam:Lactobacillus perolens DSM 12744 Scaffold4, whole genome shotgun sequence.